UCCUACGGGGGGCAGCAGUGGGGAAUAUUGCACAAUGGGGGAAACCCUGAUGCAGCAACGCCGCGUGGGUGAAGGAGCGUUUCGGCGCGUAAAGCCCUGUCAGCGGGGAAGAAGAAAGACGGUACCCGACCAAGAAGCCACGGCUAACUACGUGCCAGCAGCCGCGGUAAUACGUAGGUGGCAAGCGUUAUCCGGAUUUAUUGGGUGUAAAGGGCGUGUAGGCGGGAUUGCAAGUCAGCGGUAAAAACGCGGGGCUCAACCUCGCUCCGCCGUUGAAACUGGCGUUCUUGAGUGGGGGA
rnacentral:rRNA from 1 species